rnacentral:lncRNA from 1 species
ACCACCUCCUCAAGGCUUGCAAUCUUCGGAAUAUAUCCCCAUAUGUAGCUCUGCUCCAGGUAGAUAGUGCUUGUUUAAGCUUCUUUAACUUGUAGUUAAAAAUGUAGAAAGGGUUAACACUAAAAUAAGCAUUCCAAUUCUCCUUUACUACAUCUUUGAAGGUUUCAUGCUUUGUCCAGAAGUUAAGAAAUCUGAAUGACUUUUUAAUUGGAGGAGUUUCUAUAUCACAUUUCAGCAGUAUUGGGCAAUGAUCAAACCCAAUUUUGGAUAGGUGAGUUAUAUCCAAUCUAGGAAAUGUCUGUUGCAAUUCAUUAUUGCCAAAACAUCUGUCCAAUCUUUUAAAAAUGUAGUCCUCCUCUGAUCUUCCAUUCCACCAUGUAAAUAUGCUUCCUUUAAAACCCAAGUCUGUCAAAUUGCAGGUAUUGAUGCAGUGUCUGAAGUCAUCUGCUUCAAUGAGAGAAACUAGCAAGCCCCCAUAUUUCUCUUCCUCAUCCCAUAUCACAUUAAAGUCGCCUCCAACUAGCCAAGGUACUGUCAUAUCUGAUGCCAUUGCAUACAACGUAUCCCAUAGUUCUAUUCUUUCAGUGCGGUCACAUUUGGCAUAGACUAGUAUAAGGAUGAGCUCAACAUGUGUUUCGAAGUACAUUAAUCUCAAAGUCAGCUGUUGAGUCAUAUUAUAUAAAAUAGUAACCUCAAAAAUUUCAUCAAUAAAAGCCCAAAUCUUGUUUGACACAUUCACCACAGCCUGUCCCAAACCAAUUCUUGCUCUAUACCUCUCCAUUUUGUGAGACUGU